GUCAUUUAGUGUUGUUUUGCUAACAUUGAAUUUUUUUACUCUGAAUUUUUAUUAGCUCUCAAUGAACUUUACAACAAUUAUAUUGAAUCUUUUUCAGGCAGUCAUAAAUCUCAGUUUCAACAGUGUUAGAAUUUUCAAAGUCAAGCCAGGUGGUGGCAGCAGAGACUGCCAGAUCUCUGAGAGUUCCAGGCCAGCCUGGUUUAUAGAGUGAGUUCCAGGCCAGCCUGGUUUAUAGAGUGAGUUCCAGGACAGUGAGGACUACAGCACUACAUAGAGAGACACUGUCUCAAAAAAGUUCUAAGUUACUAUCUCCUGUCAGGUUCAAGGCAAUCUCUUAGAUGUGAUGUUGCGUUCCUAUAAAGUGAAAGCCAAGUUACAGAUUUCUUGUACAUAAUGGCACAGAAUAAACGCCAUUCCAAAAGAAAAGCAUGGGGACAUAGCAAGGAAUAAUUGGACCAAAGUUAAAAAAAAUAAACAAAAACAAACAAACAAACUCCUACAGUUCUAUGUUAAGCAGUUGAAACUCGUGAUAAAAUUAUCUGGGCUCAAAGGCCUCAGUAUCCUCACUCCUCCAUCUCUGCGUCCUGCAGGUCAUAUAAACCUCUUAGAGUAGCUCAUUACUGCCUGAAGACCUUACAUGGCUUUACCUUCACAGCUUCACACAGUGGAUUCCUAUGCCUCUCAGGGACUCCAGCCUUGUCAUGGGCCAUAGUACAAGAGUUUGUGACCCCCUUCAAUCAUCCAUCUUUCAUGCCUUCAAAACUAGCACCAUGUGAAUGACUAUCAAGUUCUGCUGCAGUACAAAAACUGCUCCAACUUCUGUGUUAGUUAUUUAUGACAUUGCUUCAACAAAAGCAACCUAUAGAAACAUUUAUUUUUGUAAAAUAUAGUAUUUUAAUUAAUUUGUUUAGUAUUUCACAUGUAUAUAAGGAUUUGGGGGGUUCUUUGGAUUUUGGGGGGGUUGUUUAUUUUUGGAAAGAAGAUGCGAUUAUGGAGCCUUAGCUGUCCCAGAACGCAUGCAGACCUACCUGCUGCUGUAUCCUUCAUGCUGGAAUUAAAAGGUCUACUUGGGGCUGGAGAGGUGGCUCAGUGGUUAAGAGCACUGACUGCUCUUCCAGAGGUCCUGAGUUCAAUUCCCAGCAACCACAUGGUGUUUCACAGCCAUCUGUAAUGGAAUCCAAUGCCCUCCUCUGGUGUGUCUGCAGGGUGAACAUACAUUAGAGAGGGAGGGAGGGAGAGAGAGAGGGAAGAAAGAUGUAUGCACAACCCCACUUGUCCUACAUACAAUGUGUUUCAAUCAUCUCACCCCCCCCACUCCUCCAUUUUCACCAUUGCCAUCCCCAUCGGCAUCCAACUUCAUGUCCUGUUUAAUAUCUCACUGAUUCUAAUAUAUGUUGCCCGUAUAUUCAUGGCCAUCCAUCAGAAUAUGGUCAACCUACCAGAGACCACAUCAGAAAAAUAAUUCCCUUUCUUCCAAAAGCCAUCAACUGUCGAUAGCUCCUCUACUAGAUGUGAGGGCUCUUGAGCCUGCUUCCUUCCACGCUGGAAUGUUGACUGACUUGAUCUUGUGAGUUUAUAGUACAGCACUCCUGUGGGAUACAGAUGUUCCCUGACCUCUGGUUCUUACACUCAUUCUGUCUCCUCUUCUUUGAUAGUCAGAAAAGUUUGUUUUGACUCACAGUUGGAGAAUACAGUCCAUUGUGGUAGAAAGGGUCAUGGCAGCAAAACCUUGAGGCAGUUUUCCACAAUGUGUUCACAGUCAGAAGCAGUGAUUAAGAAAUGCACUGAGCUUAUUGUCUCCUUUUAAUGCAGUCUAGGAGCCCAGUAUAUAGAAAUGGCACCAUCCAGUUUGGGUGAGUCUCCCCG
ensembl:lncRNA